UGCAGAGUCACUUCUUGAGCCGCUUGAUC
rnacentral:piRNA from 1 species